UACAGAGGGUGCAAGCGUUAAUCGGAAUUACUGGGCGUAAAGAGCUCGUAGGCGGUUUGUCGCGUCUGUCGUGAAAGCCCACGGCUUAACCGUGGGUCUGCGGUGGAUACGGGCAGACUAGAGGCAGGUAGGGGAGAAUGGAAUUCCCGGUGUAGCGGUGAAAUGCGCAGAUAUCGGGAGGAACACCGGUGGCGAAGGCGGUUCUCUGGGCCUGUACUGACGCUGAGGAGCGAAAGCGUGGGGAGCGAACGGG
rnacentral:rRNA from 1 species